GCAAAAACUAUCGGACUUGCUCAGUGAAAAUAAAAUCAUAUCCAAAACCUAUGAUUCGUUGAAUGUUGUAACGGAAGAACAAUCCUUACGAUCAAUCCCUGAAAAUCCGAUCAUUGUCCAGAAUCAAAUACUUUCAAAAGAGAUUUCAGAUAAGGCAAGGUCGAUAAGGGUAUUUUUAUGCACAAAACCAUAAGACGACAAAGAAAGAAGAAAAGAACUACACUAUAGAAGUGUGCAAUUUCAGCGAUGAUCAAAACAAUCUUUGAAGCACAAACAACUGAAGCAAGAAUUGAGGAGGAGCAAGUUUUUAA
rnacentral:lncRNA from 1 species